GGUCCUUUUACAUACUGAGGACUGUGGUUGAAGGGCAGGGCUGUGUGUGCUGGGGAGGUUUUGAGCUCAGAUCUUGUGGGGUGCUCUGUAAAUGACCUCAGUUGUACAACCCUGCAAGGAAAGGUGAGGCUGUUAAAAGGAAUAAUUAAUUUCUUAAUUUUAAUCACUGCCUUGUCCAGUUGUGUGCUGUGAUGCUCGUGCAGAUUGCACUGAAAAUCUUCUGACUUCAGCAAGAGCUGGGUCAGCCCUGAAUAUUUACAAGGAGAGUUAAUAACAUCUCAGAUCAAAUUCUUAGAGAUAAAUGAAUAAUAAGGAAAAAAAUACAGCAAGUUUUGGUUCCCACACCCUCAGCUCUUCAAACUGUGAGGAGGAAGGGCUGUGUCCUUGCUGGAAGUGCUUUGGGAUACCCUGAGCAGAGAGCCCAUGGUGCACCCUGGCCAUCAGACCCCUCAGACCUGAGGUUCAGCCUUAUUUCCCUGCAGAAAUGAAGUUUUGGCCAGAAGUACCCAUGAGUUGGAUCUGGAGCUGCUCACAAGCCUGGCCCUGCCUGAUGUCAGAGGACAACCUCUGUGAGUUUGUUUUCCUUCCCUGUCCUCACCGCUGGGAAUAUGCCAUGAUUU
rnacentral:lncRNA from 1 species